UGUACAGUUGGUUCCCGGCACCGCUUUGACCCGGAUUUUCUCUCCCCACUCAUCCUUCUUCUCGUGUCGAGAGCUCUCUGGAAUCUGGAAAACUCAUGCCUCUAUCUCUCCCAAUCCCUCCGGUUUACUUCCCAUAUCUCAUCUAAUUGGCCUCUUCACAAUAAUGCAGUGCUCCAUCGGGUCGUGACCGGCGACACGAGGAACGGCUGCCGGCGGAAGAGAUGCGGCUGUCUAUGUCGGGAAUGCAGCGGCCGGCGGCCGGCGAUCGGAAAGGAUGACAUGGCCAGCGGCGAGAUAUUGCUGGUCGGCGUCGCUGCUCUCUAUUGCCUCCCCAGAGUAGACGGGGUGGACAGAGCGGAGGGGAGCAGCAAUACUAGAGCUCCUCAGUGGUGGGCGGCCAUGGUGAGGCUCGGCUCCUGCUCCGGUGUAGCGGUCGGCUGCCCCCUCGGCGCUGCUACUCUGGCUGAUGGCGAAGUGGCGAACUGCUAUGGCUGACGGCGGCCACAAGUAGGAUUUUUCACUGGCCGGGCUCUCCCGUGCCGUAAGGUACCCCUGGCAUAAGUCAGCCGUGCGGUUUGGUCUUGGCCACGCCAAGUCCUGGUGCUCGCCGGCCGAGCGGCCAGAUUGAAUUAGGCGAUGUGCCUCACCAUCGUGAUUCCCGCAUCAUCCGGCGUAUGCGCGUCUUGCCCUCUUCGAAGAAGUCCUGGUCGUCGUGCUAGAGCACUCCGCACGGCGUCACCGGCGAGCUCUCUGUCAUGGAGGGUGCCAUCGGAAUUCGGAAGAUGUCCAUCACCGAUCUCCGCGUCGACUCGGCUAUAGGCGGCCUUCGUGCACCACUACAAGUCGGCAGCAUCCUGUAGAGGAAGGCAACGACGGGCGACCUAAGGAGGUUCGUCCUCAUCUUAUUUUUCCUAGAUGCCAUCUCCGUCAGACCUCGCCGGUUCCCUCCGCUGUGGGGGCGGGUCGUGGUGCGCGUGGACGCCGCCGCGGAUGGCUGUGAGUACCCCGGAUAGCCGCGGACGGUUGGGCCAAGCUCACGGACUCCGGCUGUGAGGAUCGUGGAAGGGCUCAUGACACGCCGCCGUUAAUGGCGCCCGAGGAGGCAACGCAGGGAGGAGCAAGGCGACCCGCAUCAAGUUUUGGAUUUGACGGCCCGCGGUACAACGAAAGGGAGAUUAACUGUCAGCGUCCCUGUCCACCAUCACGGCGGCGCCCCUCCUCCUGCUUCUCCCUCCUGAGCGGUGCAUGGACUCUUGAUGCCAGGUUGAGGGACACUCCGGUUGGUAGGGUGAGCAUGCCCAUUCUCCAUUUGGAACAGGGAUUCCCGAGUAAUAUAUAGCCCUGGUUCAUGAAGUGUGCUCAUAUAGAGGACAUGAACAUACCUUUGUCAAAUAAGGUGAUAGAGCCUGAACUUUGACUACUCGAUAAUUUUUUUGCUGCUCUACUUUUCUCUCUACAGAGAAAGAACCAAGGUUUGGAUAGGUAAUUAGUCUCUUGAACCAACAUAUUUUGUUUUGAGAGUAAUAAGUAGGAGUAACAUCCAUGAACAUACCUCUGUCAAAUAAGGUGAUAGAGCCUGAACUUUUGACUACUCGAUCAUUUUUUGCUGCUCUAAUUUUCUCUCUUCGGAGAAAGAACCAAGGUUUGGACAGGUAAUUAGUCUCUUGAACCAACAUAUUUUUGUUUUGAGAGUAAUAAGUAGGAGUAACAUCACAAGGGUGACCUAAUUUUCUUAUUAGGUACAGCCUGAUAAAUAUGUGAUACUGAUUUAUUUUGUAGCCUGGCUCUAGCUUUGUAGUUUGCCUAACGUUGAUUGUUGUAAAAUUGAAUCAAGCAGUUGGGUGGCGUGUCCAAAAUUUCCUGUCUUCUCUUUCUUCGGUAAGACAAAAUUGUUGUCCAGGAGAUCUCCCCAUACAUGGGUUUGUGAGAAGGUAAUCAGUAGAGGAGCUGUCAGUUUGGUUCAUCUUGCAAGACAAUCACUCUUUCCGUUAUUCCUAUGGUACUCUCUGAUUCUUUAUUUUCUUAGUGACAAUAGGCAUGCUCUUAAAGGUGGAAGACAUGUAUGGUUACUCCUGAAUAUUAUUUUUGGGUUCAUUUCUGCAGUCUAAAUGAUUAUCACAUUGUUUGCGUAAAGUAUUCUCCACAAAGGUGCAUUAGGCAAGAAUAUAAAUGCAAUCCUGCAUACUCUUUAUGAUUCCUUUGUUUUUGAACUAAUUGUGUUUUAUUUAUGUUGUUCAAUUCAAAUGUUUGAGAAGUUGUUCCCAGUAUUCAAUAGCAUUUUCUUUAAUUAUUGAUGUUUCAAGUUCUAUAUAUUAGUGUUCCUAUAUUAGGCAGAUAGAUUUUCUCUGUUAAGGAACUAGGCUGUAGAUCUUCUCACUCCAUAUUCUGCCUAAGAUUAGAGUUUAAGUUUGCUUAUGUAAAUGCCAAAUUUUAGAUAGAUUAUAAGUUUUCAGAUUAUUUAUUUUUCCCAGUACUAUACAUGUACCGUCUCUGCUUGAUAUGAAGGCCACUCUUCUUCAACCAUCAAUAGUUGUACCACUACUCAAGGAAAUGCAUCCACUUACUUUUUUUAGUUGAAAAUAAAUGAUUGUUAGCAUCCACCAAUGGAAGUUGAGCUUUACCAUUGGAUAGUACUAUUACUAUAUUCUUCACACUUCUUUGCAGCUGCCAGUUUAGUUAUCACUGAAUCUGUAAUAGACACUUAUUGGUAUCUGUUGUUAUCGUCAAAUUUUUCAUAGAUUUUUCCGAAACAUUGCAUUGCUCCAUUGUUAUUUUUACCACCUGACCCUCUAGACCACGGACUGCGCCAGGCAGGUCUUACAAACAUCAAAUCACUACAAAGAGGAACUGCGUGUGUGCUUCUAACUUUGUUCAAUUCACUGUUAAUUUCAGGUUUUACAAGUUGGAGCGGCGCAUGACGAGGACAAGCUAGAAGAAACACCGGCCAAGGACUAGAGAAAAGAAGCAAUGGCACAAUAAGAGCUCCAUUGAGGAUGAAGUACGUUUCGCACCUCCAAUCCCUCUGCAGAGGACCUGACAACUACUCUGGAGCUGGCCCAAUGCAUAUCAAGUUUCUACCCCUCCAUCCUUCCCAGAUCGAUUCACCAGUCUCGGUGUUUGCAUCAUGGCGACUAGAUCGGCGGUGGCAAAUCGCCAUGGACUAUCUUGGACACUAGAAGGAUAUCAAGGCCAAGACUCGAUCCUCCAGUGACGGCACCACGAGCAAGGAAGGCGAAGAUGCAGAGCGCAAUCUGAGUUUCUCCUGGCUUUCCACGUUGAAGAGCUCCACUUGGAAACGACCAGCAAGUGCAGAAGGGAAGAAAAGAAAGACUAGGGGCUCGUUUGGUUGCAAGGGACCCAGGAACCAGGGAACUACUUCCCCCAACGCGAAUAUCCCUGCGCGCUCGGGAACCCCAGGUUUCCCCUCCCGCUCGGGAGAAUCAAAGUUUGCUAUUUGGACAACACACGCAGGGAACGGACGGGAACAGGAGGAAAGAUGCGAAAUUCGAAAAUAA